GACGAACGCUGGCGGCGUGCUUAACACAUGCAAGUCGAACGGAAAGGCCUCUUUCGGGGGGUACUCGAGUGGCGAACGGGUGAGUAACACGUGAGUAACCUGCCCUUGACUUUGGGAUAACUUCAGGAAACUGGGGCUAAUACCGGAUAGGAGCUCCUGCUGCAUGGUGGGGGUUGGAAAGUUUCGGCGGUUGGGGAUGGACUCGCGGCGUAUCAGCUUGUUGGUGGGGUAGUGGCUUACCAAGGCGUUGACGGGUAGCCGGCCUGAGAGGGUGACCGGCCACAUUGGGACUGAGAGACGGCCCAGACUCCUACGGGAGGCAGCAGUGGGGAAUAUUGCACAAGGGGUGGAAGCCUGAUGCAGCAACGCCGUGUGCGGGAUGACGGCCUUCGGGUUGUAAACCGCUUUCGCUCAUGACGAAGCUUUGUGUGACGGUAGUGGGUAAAGAAGCACCGGCUAACUACGUG
rnacentral:rRNA from 1 species